UUUUUUUCCACCAAGAACGUUUUCUGAAACUUUUUGACCCCCGAAUUUGGAGUAUCCUGCUUUCGGGUUCACC
rnacentral:tRNA from 1 species